AUUGAACGCUGGCGGAAUGCUUUACACAUGCAAGUCGAGCGGCAGCGCGGGGGCAACCCUGGCGGCGAGCGGCGAACGGGUGAGUAACAUAUCGGAACGUACCCAGUCGUGGGGGAUAACUAUCCGAAAGGAUAGCUAAUACCGCAUACGUCCUGAGGGAGAAAGCGGGGGAUCGCAAGACCUCGCGCGAUUGGAGCGGCCGAUAUCGGAUUAGCUAGUUGGUGGGGUAAAGGCUCACCAAGGUGACGAUCCGUAGCGGGUCUGAGAGGACGACCCGCCACACUGGAACUGAGACACGGUCCAGACUCCUACGGGAGGCAGCAGUGGGGAAUUUUGGACAAUGGGGGCAACCCUGAUCCAGCCAUUCCGCGUGAGUGAAGAAGGCC
rnacentral:rRNA from 1 species